UACGAAGGGGGCUAGCGUUGUUCGGAAUCACUGGGCGUAAAGCGCACGCAGGCGGAUCGUUAAGUCAGGGGUGAAAUCCCGAGGCUCAACCUCGGAACUGCCUUUGAUACUGGCGAUCUUUGAGUCCGGGAGAGGUGAGUGGAACUGCGAGUGUAGAGGUGAGAUUCGUAGAUAUUCGCAAGAACACCAGUGGCGAAGGCGGCUCACUGGCCCGGUACUGACGCUGAGGUGCGAAAGCGUGGGGAGCAAACAGG
rnacentral:rRNA from 1 species